rnacentral:lncRNA from 1 species
GAGCAAUUCUCCCAGCCUCUUAUUUUAUAUGAACAAAUCUACUCUGUUUGACCAUAAAAAAUUACUGUCUUUACAGAUAAAAAUGGUUGACUGCAGGUAACUGAAGAUGACUCAACAUGAUACAUUUUUAUGAACAAAUCAUUAGAAGGGUCUUGCUCCGCAGUUCCGAUAAGCCAUGAAUUUGUGAUCCUCCUGCCUCAGCUUCCAAGUGCUAUAAGUAUAGUUUGCAUCAUCACACUCAGCUUUUUGUUGAGCUCUUUGGAUGGAAAUUCUUACAUGUUGGACAACUUUUGCAGCUUUUGA